GUUUUUAAUAACUGUCAUCAAAAGAGUGGCUUAACUGUAAAGUGAAAAUGUAAUAAAAAAAUGCAAUGCAUUACACAUUAGCAACUUAAAACAAAUCAGCUUUACUCAGCUUCUUUCCUUAGAAUUGUUACAUACAAUAUUCUCUUCACAAAAGAUUAAGUUGUUUUCUCAUCAUUGUAGAUUCCAAAGUACAAGUCAUUUAGGUUCAAUUACUUAUUCAUCUUUAUUACCUGGUCUGCUAGAUACAAUAGAAUGACUACCAGUAAAUAUUGAGAAACGUCCAUUCCGUUAUUUCCUUAAGUGUUCUCCAUGGAAUUUAGAUCUUUGGGAUGCUGCAUUACAUAAAGGAAGUAACCCAUCUUCGGUCAGUGCAGUGCAAGUACACUCCAGGGAACCACAGCUCCAAGUUCUAUAUUGUUUGGGCUAUGGCAGUUUGGCAGUAAUGAGAACACUUUCGCCUUCACAGUACUGUCAGCAGGCAACGUCAGCCUACAAUCCCUUGAAAUCACCAAUUAGCAACUGCUCUGUGAACGACUGAAUUCUGCUCUGGAGAGGUGGGAUGGCACAGAAAAACUUUUAGAUAAAAACUGAUGGGGCAGUCUCACUUGAAGGGAUGGCUUCCUCUAAAGACCAGCCGUAUCAGUGAGCUAUUUAGCUGAUUCCAAAAACAGAUCACCCGUGCUCUCCAGUACUUAGAGAUAUCCAAACCCGGAGGAGAUGCAUUUUGUUUGCCCAAGGAGACAGAUGUAUUUUGAGGAAGGAAAGAGCUGCAUGGCUAAGAGGAAAGAUGCAUCAGAAUCUCUAUGGGCAAACAUAGUAUCUUCCUUCAAAGACCAGCUCCUUUCUGUACCUGUUUCUUUUGUUAUUACCACCAUUAUGCCACUCUUUCAAGAUGGAAAAUUUGGAUAUAUGGAAUUAAAAUUCACGAGGUAAUAAAAAGAGAAGUAACUCAGACA
rnacentral:lncRNA from 12 species